GACCCAAAUGCAGACAGAACACAGAGCAAGACGUGUCAAUUAACAGGUUUAUUUAAAGUACUCAAGUAUCAAGUCGAGGUUUCCAAAAGGGGAAAAGCAAUUCCAGGUUUCCAGGAUGGAGGACGGGGG